UGUCGGCGUGCUUAACACAUGCAAGUCGAACGGAAAGGCCCUGCUUUUGUGGGGUGCUCGAGUGGCGAACGGGUGAGUAACACGUGAGUAACCUGCCCUUGACUUUGGGAUAACUUCAGGAAACUGGGGCUAAUACCGGAUAGGAGCUCCUGCUGCAUGGUGGGGGUUGGAAAGUUUCGGCGGUUGGGGAUGGACUCGCGGCUUAUCAGCUUGUUGGUGGGGUAGUGGCUUACCAAGGCUUUGACGGGUAGCCGGCCUGAGAGGGUGACCGGCCACAUUGGGACUGAGAUACGGCCCAGACUCCUACGGGAGGCAGCAGUGGGGAAUAUUGCACAAUGGGCGGAAGCCUGAUGCAGCAACGCCGCGUGCGGGAUGACGGCCUUCGGGUUGUAAACCGCUUUCGCCUGUGACGAAGCGUGAGUGACGGUAAUGGGUAAAGAAGCACCGGCUAACUACGUGCCAGCAGCCGCGGUGAUACGUAGGGUGCGAGCGUUGUCCGGAUUUAUUGGGCGUAAAGGGCUCGUAGGUGGUUGAUCGCGUCGGAAGUGUAAUCUUGGGGCUUAACCCUGAGCGUGCUUUCGAUACGGGUUGACUUGAGGAAGGUAGGGGAGAAUGGAAUUCCUGGUGGAGCGGUGGAAUGCGCAGAUAUCAGGAGGAACACCAGUGGCGAAGGCGGUUCUCUGGGCCUUUCCUGACGCUGAGGAGCGAAAGCGUGGGGAGCGAACAGGCUUAGAUACCCUGGUAGUCCACGCUGUAAACGGUGGGUACUAGGUGUGGGGUCCAUUCCACGGGUUCCGUGCCGUAGCUAACGCUUUAAGUACCCCGCCUGGGGAGUACGGCCGCAAGGCUAAAACUCAAAGGAAUUGACGGGGCCCCGCACAAGCGGCGGAGCAUGCGGAUUAAUUCGAUGCAACGCGUAGAACCUUACCUGGGUUUGACAUGGAUCGGGAGUGCUCAGAGAUGGGUGUGCCUCUUUUGGGGUCGGUUCACAGGUGGUGCAUGGCUGUCGUCAGCUCGUGUCGUGAGAUGUUGGGUUAAGUCCCGCAACGAGCGCAACCCUUGUUCACUGUUGCCAGCACGUUAUGGUGGGGACUCAGUGGAGACCGCCGGGGUCAACUCGGAGGAAGGUGGGGAUGACGUCAAGUCAUCAUGCCCCUUAUGUCCAGGGCUUCACGCAUGCUACAAUGGCUGGUACAGAGAGUGGCGAGCCUGUGAGGGUGAGCGAAUCUCGGAAAGCCGGUCUCAGUUCGGAUUGGGGUCUGCAACUCGACCUCAUGAAGUCGGAGUCGCUAGUAAUCGCAGAUCAGCAACGCUGCGGUGAAUACGUUCCCGGGGCUUGUACACACCGCCCGUCAAGUCAUGAAAGUUGGUAACACCCGAAGCCGGUGGCCUAACCGUUGUGGGGGAGCCGUCGAAGGUGGGACUGGUGAUUA
rnacentral:rRNA from 1 species